rnacentral:rRNA from 1 species
CUGGCUCAGGACGAACGCUGGCGGCGUGCCUAACACAUGCAAGUCGAGCGAUGAAGCCCUUCGGGGUGGAUUAGCGGCGGACGGGUGAGUAACACGUGGGUAACCUGCCUCAAAGAGGGGGAUAGCCUCCCGAAAGGGAGAUUAAUACCGCAUAACAUUAGUUUUUCGCAUGAAGAACUAAUUAAAGGAGUAAUCCGCU